UAUAUUUGCAUCAGCAAAGAUAUCGGACUGUUUUGUCCGUAAGGAAUACAGGUGAAAGUCCUGAGCAGGCACGCUGCCGUAACUCUCGUUUCCCUAUAUAUAUAUUUAUGUGGAGACGACGCGACACAAGCCAUUGGAGAACCGGAAUGCUCCGAGAAGGCGUCGCAACAAGAGAAGCCGGAAAACAAACUCUUUGCUAUCCGGAAGCC
rnacentral:ncRNA from 2 species